AAGAAAUCAAGAAACAAAGAUGUCUUCAAAACUUUGUUUCAACAAGACACUAAAAUUCAGACCCUAUUAAUUAUUUUCAACAUUGAAGAACUUUCUUCCCAUUUUUCAGGUGGCAAACCAUAAUUGCAUGUCAAAAUGAAAGAAAAGCUACACAAAUUAGAAACUCACCUUCUACAGCAAUAACGGACCUGAGGAGAGAGAGACUGCA
rnacentral:misc_RNA from 1 species